AAAUUUUAGUUUAUAUAAAAAUAAUUUAUUUACAAUAAAUAGAAUAAUUGGAUUAUUAAUUAAAAUUUUAU
rnacentral:tRNA from 1 species